rnacentral:tRNA from 2 species
CUACGCCCUAGUAGCUUAAACUACCCUAAAGCCCUG